GACGAACGCUGGCGGCGUGCCUAAUACAUGCAAGUAGAACGCUGAAGGAGGAGCUUGCUCUUCUGGAUGAGUUGCGAACGGGUGAGUAACGCGUAGGUAACCUGCCUGGUAGCGGGGGAUAACUAUUGGAAACGAUAGCUAAUACCGCAUAAUAUUGACUAUUGCAUGAUAGUCAAUCGAAAGGUGCAAAUGCACCACUACCAGAUGGACCUGCGUUGUAUUAGCUAGUUGGUGGGGUAACGGCUCACCAAGGCGACGAUACAUAGCCGACCUGAGAGGGUGAUCGGCCACACUGGGACUGAGACACGGCCCAGACUCCUACGGGAGGCAGCAGUAGGGAAUCUUCGGCAAUGGACGGAAGUCUGACCGAGCAACGCCGCGUGAGUGAAGAAGGUUUUCGGAUCGUAAAGCUCUGUUGUAAGAGAAGAACGAGUGUGAGAGUGGAAAGUUCAC
rnacentral:rRNA from 1 species